UUUAGCUUCUUUAUACUCCUGCAUUACCAAUUUCCUCACUUGUUUUAGUGAUCGUUCAGUCUCAAUGUAGAACCUUUCGGUCAUCUGUAGGGUCGUUCGGUCUUCAUGCAUUUGUUCAGUUAUUUUAAUGUUUUCAAUUAAGUUAGGUUGUAUUUAAUUUCUAGUUUUGUUUUAAUUUAAUUUUCUUUGCAAGAACACUUUCAACCCCCCCCCCAUAUGUGUUAGACCUAAGACUCGAACCGCAUUUGGUCCUUGAGAAUCAACCUAGGAGUCAUUUCCUAGCUAUACUGCAUUUCUUAUAUGCAAUUAAAUUUGUAUGGGCCGCGACACCCAUCAAAUUUUGGCGCCGUUGUCGGGGACCAACGGUUCGGUUUUAGGUCUUUUGUUGUGUUAGUGUGUGUUGUGUUUUGUCUCGUGUUGUGAGUGUGUUGUUCCGUUUUGUAUGUCGUGUCAUGUGUGUUGCAUUUAGGUAGCUUUAGUUGCAUAUUUUCN
rnacentral:lncRNA from 1 species